GAACAAUUCUAUGAUGUGUGGCACUUUGAAAAAGGUUUGUCCAAGAAACUUGUGAAACUUUCACAGAACAAGGACUGCAAGUUGUUGAAGAGGUGGCUGCACAGCAU